UACGUAGGGGGCAAGCGUUGUCCGGAUUUAUUGGGCGUAAAGAGCGUGUAGGCGGCCAGAUAGGUCAGCUGUGAAAACUCGAGGCUCAACCUCGAGAUGUCGGCUGAAACCAUCUGGCUAGAGUCCGGAAGAGGAGAAUGGAACUGCGAGUGUAGAGGUGAAAUUCGUAGAUAUUCGCAAGAACACCAGUGGCGAAGGCGGCUCACUGGCCCGGUACUGACGCUGAGGUGCGAAAGCGUGGGGAGCAAACAGG
rnacentral:rRNA from 1 species